rnacentral:rRNA from 1 species
GAGUUUGAUCAUGGCUCAGAUUGAACGCUGGCGGCAGGCCUAACACAUGCAAGUCGGGCGGUAGAGAGAAGCUUGCUUCUCUUGAGAGCGGCGGACGGGUGAGUAAUGCCUAGGAAUCUGCCUGGUAGUGGGGGAUAACGCUCGGAAACGGACGCUAAUACCGCAUACGUCCUACGGGAGAAAGCAGGGGACCUUCGGGCCUUGCGCUAUCAGAUGAGCCUAGGUCGGAUUAGCUAGUUGGUGAGGUAAUGGCUCACCAAGGCGACGAUCCGUAACUGGUCUGAGAGGAUGAUCAGUCACACUGGAACUGAGACACGGUCCAGACUCCUACGGGAGGCAGCAGUGGGGAAUAUUGGACAAUGGGCGAAAGCCUGAUCCAGCCAUGCCGCGUGUGUGAAGAAGGUCUUCGGAUUGUAAAGCACUUUAAGUUGGGAGGAAGGGCAGUAAAUUAAUAACUUUGCUGUUUUGACGUUACCGACAGAAUAAGCACCGGCUAACUCUGUGCCAGCAG